GUCUUUCGUGAAAGCGUUUCUGGGUGCGGUCCUUACUGGAACAAGUGACGGCUGGCGUUAAUAAGCAUGCGGUGAGGGAAACAGAAGGCUCCGAGAAGUAAACGCUUUCGAGGUAGAGAGUGUCAUCCAGUCAUACCUCCGGCACGCAAACUGAGUGUAAUUGAAAGUUGGACGUAGUAAAUAAAAUUUGCCAGAGCACUA